rnacentral:rRNA from 1 species
UACAGAGGUCCCGAGCGUUGUUCGGAUUCAUUGGGCGUAAAGGGUGCGUAGGCGGCGGGGCAAGUCUGAUGUGAAGUCCCGGGGCUCAACCCCGGAACUGCAUUGGAUACUGCCUUGCUUGAGUACUGGAGAGGGAACUGGAAUUUACGGUGUAGCAGUGAAAUGCGUAGAGAUCGUAAGGAAGGCCAGUGGCGAAGGCGAGUUCCUGGACAGUUACUGACGCUGAGGCACGAAGGCCAGGGGAGCAAACGGG